AUACGGAGGAUCCGAGCGUUAUCCGGAUUUAUUGGGUUUAAAGGGUACGCAGGCGGCCAUUUAAGUCAGCGGUUAAAUCGUGGGGCUCAACCCCAUUCUGCCGUUGAUACUGGGUGGCUUGAUUGCGGUCGAGGUUGGCGGAAUUCGUUGUGUAGCGGUGAAAUGCAUAGAUAUGACGAAGAACACCGAUUGCGUAGGCAGCUGACCAGACCGCAAAUGACGCUCAUGCACGAAAGUGCGGGGAUCGAACAGGAUUAGAUACCCUGGUAGUCCGCACAGUAAACGAUGAAUACUUGUUUUCGGCGAUAUAAUGUCGGAGGCAAAGCGAAAGCGAUAAGUAUUCCACCUGGGGAGUACGCCGGCAACGGUGAAACUCAAAGGAAUUGACGGGG
rnacentral:rRNA from 1 species